ensembl:lncRNA
UGAAUAAUAAUUUGACAACGCUACGUCACAGUGUCACCUUAUCCAGAUCGGCUCAUUUCUUCUGCCUUUUUCCUUUCAUUGCCUAUUGCAUUCAGCAGACAAACUGCAUAGAUUUCAAACUUACCACAGCUCACAAACUUAUUCAGACCUAUGUUAUUUAACAAACAAUAGGAAAGAUGUGAUUUUAAUGGCAUGGGCUCUUUAACUAAAUGUCAAUACAGUAGAUCUUUAAAUUAUGACACUUAGAGGUCAGAUAACUAAAGAUUUAAGAUAACCUUUAGUUAAAAGAAGAAUCCGUUAUUUAACUUUACUAAACAACUCUAAAGUGCACCUUACUAGUCACGUUUCCAUCUAAAAGGUGAAGCGAAUCUUUAGAAUGUUCGCAAAAAAUAAAUUCGAAUUGGGUGCAUUUCCAUUAAGUGGUUGGAGCGGAAAACUACACCCAUUCCAGGACUUCGAGCUAGGGGUAAGACCCUCGCAAGACCCCCUGUAAUUCCCCCUGGCCUAAACUAUCACCGCCCCUCACACAGGGGACAGUGGCGGGGGGGGCAAUAUUAUAAUUUUUUGGAGUUCAUUGUUAUAUUUACUAGAGUUUUCGAGCGAGCGUUGCGUGCGCUCAACCUCUAGUUGUAAUUAAAUCCAUAGCAAUAAUGUGGAAACCCCAGUCGAUAAUGUAACAGAUUUCUGAAAAUAAUAAUCAUCAUUGAGAUUAAACAUCUCUUCCAGUGUCCUGGCCAAGACAGGCAGCAGUAGCCUACAGUCACACAUAGCAUACACACAAAACCUAAGUAAAAUAAACCAACUACAACAGUCCGCAGGGGGGAAGGGGGAUAUCAACAUCGCAAGACAUUUCGGGAGGCUCAAGGAGUAAUAUUACAUUUGAGCAACAAAGUGUAGUCUUGCGGGGGACUCUAUAGACAUAAUUCACCAUACUGCGUUAUUGACAUGUUUUCGUUGUGUUACAGGGACCCUGUCUCUUUAAGAUCACGUGACUUGUAACGUCUUACCUGGGAGAGUUUGUUGAUGGUGGCGCCGUUAUGUUCAAAAACAUAACGGCUUACCUAGGCGAGUGUGCCGCUGCCUUUGUCUAGACGUGCGGUGUGUGCACGUGCUUGUGUGUGCGCUUCCGUGUAUGUGAUGGGCCUUUGUCUUGACGUGCAGUGUGUGCUCUUGCGUGUGUGUGUUCUUUUCCGUGUAUAUUCGUGCCCAUGUGCGUGUGUGUGCGUUGUGUGUAUGCGGCGUGCAUGUGCGUGCUUGCGGUGUAUGUAUGCGUUUGCGCGUGCUGCUCUUGAGCUGCAGGCUGCUUGGCACAUGACUAACUUGAGUAACUGGUGCGACAGGCCUGCUAUUAUAGUAGUAAGAUAAUUGAAAGAUUGAAGGCAUAUGGAUGCAUUAGAAUAUCCACCUAAUGUUUUGUAUAUUAGGGUUACAACCAGCGGCCGCACAAGGGGGGGGGGGGGCUUAAGCUCCCUCUGAAAAAGGCUGAGCCCCCUCCAAGCCCCCCCUCAUUUUGUUAUGAAAACUAUUUUAUUUAAUUUUAAAAAUGUGUUUUUAAUAAUAAUGUGGCGAGCAGCGUGGGAACGAGCAGACGGGAGCCCACGUUAUAAGAGUUUGCAACUCUGGUGAUCCAAACUCUGAACGACCCUGCGAGAGGCUUCAUGUAAACACACCACACACACACACACUUGAAACACACAUCCUGUCGCCCACAACCACGACUGCCUCAGUGCCGCCGACCCUCCAAGGAUCCGAUGCGGCACUUGGCGACCACGGCCGUGAUCACCACAAUAAUAUGAUAAUAAUAUAUAUGCUUAUAUAUAUUAUUAUA